ACUCAAAUGAAUAGACGGGGGCCCGCACAAGCAGCGGAGCGUGUGGUUUAAUUCGAUGCAACGCGAAGAACCUUACCUGGGCUUGACAUGCACGUGGUACCGACCGGAAACGGAAGGGACCCGCAAGGGAGCGUGCACAGAUGCUGCAUGGCUGUCGUCAGCUCGUGCCGUGAGGUGUUGGGUUAAGUCCCGCAACGAGCGCAACCCUCGCCGUCAGUUACCGUUUCUGGCGGGACCGCCGGUCUACACCGGAGGAAGGUGGGGAUGACGUCAAGUCAGCACGGCUCUUACGUCCAGGGCGACACACACGCUACAAUGGCCGGUACAACGGGCAGCGAAGGGGCGACCCGGAGCGAAUCCCAUCAAAGCCGGCCCCAGUUCGGAUUGCAGGCUGCAACCCGCCUGCAUGAAGUCGGAGUUGCUAGUAACCGCUGGUCAGCACACAGCGGUGAAUACGUUCCCGGGCCUUGUACACACCGCCCGU
rnacentral:rRNA from 1 species